AGACUGAGUCAAAAGACCUGGUAUCUUUAUAUCAAAGUUUCAUCUUCAGCAAAAUAAAUACUUUUACAUACUAUCCCUUGAGCAUAAAUGAGUUAACACAUCCAAACAUGACUCUGUUAUUCUAAGGUACUAUUUCUAUUUUUAAUACAGUUGGCCCGUUAAAAUACUCCACAACACUGACUAAUCGGCAGCGUGGGAACAUGGUAUCAGUACUGCCAGCAACGUUGGAUUGUAAGUACAUGGUUUUCAU